rnacentral:rRNA from 1 species
UCAAAUGAAUUGACGGGGGCCCGCACAAGCGGUGGAGCAUGUGGUUUAAUUCGAUGCAACGCGAAGAACCUUACCUACUCUUGACAUCCAGAGAACUUAGCAGAGAUGCUUUGGUGCCUUCGGGAACUCUGAGACAGGUGCUGCAUGGCUGUCGUCAGCUCGUGUUGUGAAAUGUUGGGUUAAGUCCCGCAACGAGCGCAACCCUUAUCCUUUGUUGCCAGCGGUUAGGCCGGGAACUCAAAGGAGACUGCCAGUGAUAAACUGGAGGAAGGUGGGGAUGACGUCAAGUCAUCAUGGCCCUUACGAGUAGGGCUACACACGUGCUACAAUGGCGCAUACAAAGAGAAGCGACCUCGCGAGAGCAAGCGGACCUCAUAAAGUGCGUCGUAGUCCGGAUUGGAGUCUGCAACUCGACUCCAUGAAGUCGGAAUCGCUAGUAAUCGUGGAUCAGAAUGCCACGGUGAAUACGUUCCCGGGCCUUGUACACACCGCCCGUCACACCAUGGGAGUGGGUUGCAAAAGAAGUAGGUAGCUUAACCUUCGGGAGGGCGCUUACCACUUUGUGAUUCAUGACUGGGGUGAAGUCGUAACAAGGUAACC